rnacentral:rRNA from 1 species
AACAAACGCUGGCGGCGUGUCUUAAGCAUGCAAGUUGAGCGGCAAGGGGGAGUAAUCCCUCCUAGAGCAGCGGACUGGUGAGUAACGCGUGGGUAAUCUGCCUUGGGCAUGGGGAUAGCCAUUAGAAAUAGUGGGUAAUACCGAAUACGUUCCACGAGGGGAGUGCUUGUGGAAGAAAGGGUGCUACGGCACUGGCCUGAGAUGAGCUCGCGUCCCAUUAGCUAGUUGGUGAGGUAAGGGCCCACCAAGGCGAUGAUGGGUAGCCGGCCUGAGAGGGUGUACGGCCACACUGGGACUGAGACACGGUCCAGACUCCUACGGGAGGCAGCAGUGGGGAAUAUUGCACAAUGGGGGAAACCCUGAUGCAGCGACGCCGCGUGGAGGAUGACGGCCUUCGG